UACAGAGGGUGCGAGCGUUAAUCGGAAUUACUGGGCGUAAAGCGUGCGUAGACGGUUAUCUAAGUCGGAUGUGAAAGCCCCGGGCUCAACCUGGGAAUUGCAUUCGAGACUGAAUAGCUAGGGUGCGGUAGAGGGAAGCGGAAUUUCCGGUGUAGCGGUGAAAUGCGUAGAUAUCGGAAGGAACAUCAGUGGCGAAAGCGGCUUCCUGGACCUGCACCGACGUUCAGGCACGAAAGCGCGGGGAGCAAACAGG
rnacentral:rRNA from 1 species